rnacentral:rRNA from 1 species
UACGAAGGGGGCUAGCGUUGCUCGGAAUCACUGGGCGUAAAGGGUGCGUAGGCGGGUCUUUUAAGUCAGGGGUGAAAUCCUGGAGCUCAACUCCAGAACUGCCUUUGAUACUGAGGAUCUUGAGUCCGGGAGAGGUGAGUGGAACUGCGAGUGUAGAGGUGAAAUUCGUAGAUAUUCGCAAGAACACCAGUGGCGAAGGCGGCUCACUGGCCCGGUACUGACGCUGAGGCACGGAAAGCGUGGGGAG